UACGUAGGGUGCAAGCGUUGUCCGGAAUUAUUGGGCGUAAAGAGCUCGUAGGCGGUUUGUCGCGUCUGCUGUGAAAACUGGGGGCUCAACCCCCAGCCUGCAGUGGGUACGGGCAGACUAGAGUGCGGUAGGGGAGAUCGGAAUUCCUGGUGUAGCGGUGAAAUGCGCAGAUAUCAGGAGGAACACCGGUGGCGAAGGCGGAUCUCUGGGCCAUUACUGACGCUGAGGAGCGAAAGCGUGGGGAGCGAACAGG
rnacentral:rRNA from 1 species